GCCCCUGGUAAGUGGCGAUGACGUUUGGGUCUUACGCAACAGAUCUUCAUGAACCGUGUCAGGGCAGGAAUGCAGCAGCACUAAGUGAAACCUUCUGUGUGCCGUGAGGGUGCCUGGACCGAGUUAACUGCCAGGGUAACGCCUGUGAUAGCGGUUCAAAGUGAGACGCACGG
rnacentral:SRP_RNA from 1 species